rnacentral:rRNA from 1 species
GCAUAACGCGAAGAACCUUACCCACCUUUGACAUGUACGGAAGUUGCCAGAGAUGGCUUCGUGCUCGAAAGAGAGCCGUAACACAGGUGCUGCAUGGCUGUCGUCAGCUCGUGUCGUGAGAUGUUGGGUUAAGUCCCGCAACGAGCGCAACCCUUGUCAUUAGUUGCUACGAAAGGGCACUCUAAUGGGACUGCCGGUGACAAACCGGAGGAAGGUGGGGAUGACGUCAAGUCCUCAUGGCCCUUAUAGGUGGGGCUACACACGUCAUACAAUGGCUGGUACAGAGGGUUGCCAACCCGCGAGGGGGAGCUAAUCCCAUAAAGCCAGUCGUAGUCCGGAUCGCAGUCUGCAACUCGACUGCGUGAAGUCGGAAUCGCUAGUAAUCGCGGAUCAGAAUGUCGCGGUGAAUACGUUCCCGGGUCUUGUACACACCG